CUGGCAUAGACGUGUGAGGUGGAACAUUUUUAUAGUACUCUUCAGUCUUAGUCAGCAGAGUGGAAGCAGGGAGACGUGAUCAUGAACAUGUGGAGCACGGCAGCAGCACUUCUUUUACUUCUACACGCCGUGUUGUGUCAGAGCGGCAUCAGAUGGUGCACCAUCUCAGACGCAGAGCAGAAGAAAUGUGAGGACAUGUCUUUCGCUUUUGCCGAAACCUCCAUCCGGCCGUCCCUCAGCUGU